rnacentral:rRNA from 1 species
UAUAAAUGAAGCGGUCUGGAAAGGCCCGCCAAAGACGGUAACAGCCCGGUAGUUGAAAUGGCUUUCCCUCCAGAGUGGAUCCUGAGUACGGCGGAACACGUGAAAUUCCGUCGGAAUCCGGGAGGACCAUCUCCCAAGGCUAAAUACUCCCUAGUGACCGAUAGUGAACCAGUACCGUGAGGGAAAGGUGAAAAGCACCCCGGAAGGGGAGUGAAACAGUUCCUGAAACCGUGUGCCUACAAGUAGUUAGAGCCCGUUAAUGGGUGAUAGCGUGCCUUUUGUAGAAUGAACCGGCGAGUUACGAUUUGUUGCAAGGUUAAGCGGAAAAAGCGGAGCCGUAGCGAAAGCGAGUCUGAAUAGGGCGCAUAAGUAACAGGUCGUAGACCCGAAACCAGGUGAUCUACCCAUGUCCAGGAUGAAGGUAAGGUAAUACUUACUGGAGGUCCGAACCCACGCACGUUGAAAAGUGCGGGGAUGAGGUGUGGGUAGCGGAGAAAUUCCAAUCGAACUUGGAGAUAGCUGGUUCUCUCCGAAAUAGCUUUAGGGCUAGCCUCGAGGUAAAGAGUCAUGGAGGUAGAGCACUGUUUGGACUAGGGGCCCUUCUCGGGUUACCGAAUUCAGAUAAACUCCGAAUGCCAUGUACUUAUACUCGGGAGUCAGACUGCGAGUGAUAAGAUCCGUAGUCGAAAGGGAAACAGCCCAGACCACCAGUUAAGGUCCCAAAAUAUAUGUUAAGUGGAAAAGGAUGUGGGGUUGCUUAGACAACCAGGAUGUUGGCUUAGAAGCAGCCACCAUUGAAAGAGUGCGUAAUAGCUCACUGGUCGAGUGACCCCGCGCCGAAAAUGUACCGGGGCUAAACAUAUUACCGAAACUGUGGAUGAACCUC